ensembl:lncRNA
GCAGAGUGUAGGGAAAAAGUUGAGGAACAGCUCAAGACAGAUAUUACGUAUUUUGCUACUACUACCGAUCUGUGGUCUAGUCGCAUGUCCGAGCCUUUCUAUAUUGACAAAGAGUGGAAUCUUAUAAACACCAUACUUUCCCGACGACCAAGCUAUAAGCAGAGGGGCUUAUUGAUGCUCUCGCCUUCUGGGGACUCAGUCAAGACAGACAGGUCUGCAUUACAACGGAUAGUGGUGUGAACGUGGCGAAAGCCGCUCAAAUCAACAAAUGGACCAGACUGAAAUGUUUUGGACAGCAUCUGCACUUGGCCAUUGAGAGAGUGGGUAGAGACAAAGGGGUGGAUCGCGCAAUUGGAGUGUGUAAGAAAGUGGUAGGUGCCUUAUCCUAUUCAUGGAAAAAGAAGAGAGGCAGUUGCUCAAAAAGAACACAACCUACCCCAGCACAAAUUGGUGACAGAGUGGGGAUCAAGUCAAAAGGUGGUGCAGAGUACUGGAGCAGGAUAAAGCCAUUUCACAGGUCUUGUUCAGUGACAAGAAGACCCGGCACUUAGCUCCCACCUAUACAGAUAUAGACGUUCUUGAGUCCAUCAACCAGGCAUUGAGCCAACUCCUAGAAUUCACAGAUGCUCUGUCUGGUGAGUCUUAUGUCAGUGUGUCUUAGCUGAAGCUAGUAUUACACCUAUUCAAUACAGAGGUCAUGAAACCUGAUGAUGGUGAAACAGAGCUCACCCAAACCAUCAAAACAAUAGUCAUGGACUAUCUGAAUGAGAAAUAUGAUGACCUAGCCAAAGAUGAGCCUCGUUGGUUGACCCUCAGUUUAAAACACAUUUACAUCAAAGAGGAGAAGGUGGGCCACAUAAAAGCAAGAGCUGUCUCAGAGAUGGUCAAUGAGGGAUAUGAAAACCCAAGCCCAGCACAGGGAGACGAUGAUGCUGCUUCACCACAACUGCCAGCUAAAAAGAGAAAGUCACUGGGCAGUUUUUUCAAAAAGCCAUGCUCCACUACCACAGGUCUCACUGAAAUCCAGCUGGUAGAAAAGGAACUCAACUGCUACCUUCAGUCUCCUGAUGCUGACAGUGGAGCCAAUCCACUGGACUGGUGGAAGAUCCACCCAAAAAAACUUUCCCAAAGUCAGCCACCUGGCAAAGCGCUACCUGUGCAUUCCUGCGACCAGCUCCCCCUCCGGAUGUGUUUUUAGCACAGGUGACCUGCCAUAGGGCAGCUUUAAAACCAGAGACCAAAGACAGACUUGUCUUUCUUGAAACUACCCCAACUUCAACUGUGAUGUGCCACUAGGCUAACAGUAAUAAUGCAUAUUGACUUGCACUAUUUUAUUUCGUUUUUUUUUUU